CAGUGAGGGUUUUGAUGGACACGCUAGCUUCUACUUUGUGCUAAUUAAUGUCUCUUGACAAGGUUUUGUUCUUCCUCUUUCAACACUUCUUAACGCUCCUUUCUUCUUCGUCUUGCAGGUGUUGCGGAAGGGAACUAUUAUCGGAUCAUCACGUAUUCCUCUCCAGGCUACAGAUUCGUGGAUGGCUUUGACCGAUCGUCACUCUGAUGAUUCAUGUUAUUCUUCUAGGGUUUUGGAUGAUGCUUUUAUCGAUGAGAGUGAUGGCUUCGUCUCUUUGCUAACCGUCUUCAAGGAUGUUGUGGAAGCGAAUUAUGAUCAGAUCAUGCGCAAAAUUCUCUAGGCCUACGUCUUCAAGCCUUCUCACGGGUUCCUUGCUCUAAAAUGUAAGGAGGAGGAUCCUUUGAUUGAUCGGUGAUGGCUUUGACUGAUCAUUGUCACUCCAAUUCAUGUUUUUGGAUGAUGCUUUUAUCGAUGAGAGUGAUGAUGGCUCAAGGACACGAUUCACUUCUUCUCUUUGCUAACGUCUUCAAGGGUUUUGUUCUUCCUCUUAACACUUCUUUUACUCUCGGUUUUUUGUUUUAUACAUUCUUUUCCUCUUCGUCUUGCAGGUGUUUUGGAAGCGAGUUAUGAUAUGAUCAGGUCACUGCAUAUUCUUCUCCAAGCUUUCUCACAGGAUCCUACCAACCAUUGUCACUCUAAAUCAGGUUGUGGAGUAUCGGUCGGUGAUGCUUUUGAUGUAUCCUUUUUGUACUAUGCGCUACAUCUUCAGGUAGUGUUCUUCCUCCUAACGAAAAUCUUGUCUUUUGUUGCAGAAACUCGAGGUUACUAACUAGUGUCUUAGGUCAGCUAAACCUGAAUAUUUUUAAGUUGUUUUCUUUGUGUGCUAAAUCUGCUAAUUAAUGUCUUUUUUUUUAAAGUCUCUUAGAUGGUACGCUUAUGUCUGAGCUCCUCUUAUGCACAAAGCUAGUUGGACAUGUGGUUUAUUCAGGCUUUUGGUCUCUUUCCCGUUGGUAUUUAUGUAUCUCUCUCAUGUUGCAUCUGUUCCCACUGUUUGAUCAUAUAUAGUCGAAGUUCUAUCAGAGAAAAGCGUCGGGUUACUUGCUUGUCUCUUUCCACUUUUUCUUUGUUAAUAAUCUAUGUAUCUCUCAUGCUGCAUCUAUUCCAAUCGAUUUUGUUCUUUUUAACUAGUUUUUGUAUCCAUUGUCAUUUUUUAUGUCUCUUUGGUGGUAUGCUUAAGUCUGAGCUUUUCUGAUGCACUAGGUGGUCUGUUCAGGUUCUUGUUCUCUUUCUCUUUGGGGUCUGUCAGCUAUCCCUUUAAUUUGUUAUAUAAACUAGAUUUUGAAUUUUGGCUUCCUGAGUUUUUGAUUGUGCCACUAGGCAGUCUUCAACAUCAUUGCAAUUAUUAUUGGAUGUUUCAGGUUCGUUUUGGAUGUUGUUUUUAUCGAUGAGAGUGAUGGCUUUGAUGGAAACGCUUCUUCUCUGUGCUACGUAUUCAGGGGUUUUGUUCUUCCUCGUCACAAUUCUUUUACUCUCUUUUUGUGUUCCUUACGUUCUUUUCUUCUUCUUCUUGCAGGUGUUUUGGAAGCAAUUAUGAUCGGAUCAUUGCAUAUUCUUCUCCAGGCUAAGUUUUUAGGAUUUCUCACAGGUUCCUUACUCUAAAUGCAUCUCUGUUUGCCUUUGAAUUUUUACUUUGGUUCGCUGGUUUUUAUUUUUCUAAUUACAUGUUACUUACUGUAGUUUUUGUUUUAUUUUGGUGGUUUACAUUUGUGGAGGAGGAUACCAUGACUGAUCGUUGUCAAUCUAAUUCAUGUUAUUCUUCUGAGAUUUUGAAUGAUGCUUUUAUCAGUGAGGGUCAUGGCUUUGAUGGACUUGUUUCUUCUCUGUGCUACGUUUCCAAGGUAUGCUAAGUCUGAGCUGGACAUGUGGUUAAUUCAGGUUCUUGUUCUCUUUCUCUUUGGGAUCUGUCAACUAUCUCUUUGUAUUUAUAAAUUAGAUUUUGAAUUUUGGUUUCCUGAGUUUUAGACUGUGGCACUGGGCAGUCUUCAACAUCAAUUGGAUGUUUCAGGUUCUUUUUAGUUGAUGAUCUUCUUAGUUAUAGGGCAUUUAUGUUUUAUGCCUAAGAGAAAAGCAUCAGGUAACUAACUGGUCACUUUCCCUAUAUGGUUUUUCAUGUUACAUCAAUUUUUAGUGUUUGAUCCUACUCUCAUAUGCUUGUGAUUGUGGUUUUUCUUAUGUGAAUUGCUCCCUUCUUUGUUAUUUCUAUGUUACCUCCGUUGGUUUUUCUUCUGUAAAGUGCUCCCUUCUUUGUUAUUUCUAUGUUAUUUCUUGUGUGUUUGAUCCUACUCUCGUAUGCUUGUGAUUGUGGUUUUUCUUUUGUGAAGUGCUCCCUUCUUUAUGGGUAGGAUAAAUUUUCAUCUACUUUCUUCUAUUUCUAUGUUACCUACUUGGUCUCUUUUCCUUGGAGAUGUGAUCAGUUUUGCUUCCCCUUUUCUCUUUCUGUCUUUUUAAUUUCAUGAUCUGCAUUUUUCUAUGGUUUAAAUGCUAAUCACUUAUCUUUGGGAUUGUGUUUCUACUUCUACGUGAAUUCAUUACCUGCGUAUAGGAAUUUGGUUGAUGCAAAUAGAAGAUCUGUUUGAAUUCUUAAUUCUUAUGGUUGAUUCAGGUGUCAUGAGCUUCUUUUUCCUGGUGUUUGGUUUGUGGUUGUUAGCAGUUACGCCUCUUUCUAUUUGUGAAUUACUUCUGAUUGUUAUAGUUUACUGGGUAUUCAAGAGAUGUAAGCUUUGAGUUCCUCACUGGUUGCAUAAAGGAUUGAUCUCAGUUGGUAUGUUUCCUUUUUGUUAUUAUUUCCUCUGUAUGUCUUAUUGUAUUUUCCAGGAUAUCUUCAUCGAUCACUAUACUCCGAUCCUUUGCAGUCUACUCGUAGUCAGAUGUCCUUUUAAAUGGGUUUGUACUUAUUUUCUGUCCUUUCAUGAUGGAAGUAAUUUUUGCAUUGAGCAUCUUCGAGUCUGAGCUUCUCUUAAGCAGAAAGCUAGACAUGUUGUUAUCAGGUAUUUGUUCAUAUUUCCUUUUUGGAUCUUCUGCAAUAUGUUGAUUCAUAAUUCUUGUAUUUUGAAGUGUGUUUAGCCUCAUGAGCUUGUUACUAUGAGUCUAUGACAGUGGGGAGUUUCACAUGAUUGGAACUUGUCAUUGGAUUUUUUUGUUAAGUCUUUUAAGUCUUAACAUAGAUAAGUCAGGUUACUAAUUGGUCUCUUCCUUGUUUAUCCAUUUUGGUGUGCUACAUAUACCUACUUUUUUUAUUUGUUUAAUCCCAAUUAUAUAUGCUUGUGAUGGUAGCUUUUCUAUUUAUGAAUUAUAGGUAUGCCAGACUCCCUUUUUGAUUUUGAUUGCAGUAUUUUUUAAUACUAGUGGAUGCCUUUUUCUGUUUUGGUUUUACCACUAUAUUGUCUUGUGUUGGUGAGUUGUGUUGCUGCUCAAUAUUCCCUUCUGAUUGUUAAUUUGAUGUCAUCGUUUAUUUGAUUAUGUAAGUGAUUCUUGCUGGUAGCGUGACCUCUUGGGGCAUGCUCAUAGAAAGUGAAGAGCGUCUUGAUUUUGAUGAUAAUGGUCUUAACUUCUGACUUGUGAGGUUUCUUGCUUCCUGGGUUGUGGUUUGUUUUAAUGGCUAUGUAGACAUUUGAUAAUGAAGUCCUCGCUUGAUUUUGUUUGGGUGAUUUGCAUUAUGUUGUUGGAUUUCAGGGGAGUCUUAAUUUUAUAGAUAGACUUUUUAUGAAUGUUCUCAGGUAGUCAAUGAAAAUUGAAAACGGCACCUUCCUUACAUCUGAUGAAGAGGCUGAUUAAUUAAGUUGUUGGAUUGUUACCUCCAGAUCAUAGUUCCUUUCUUCCUUGGACUUAUUGGCUUGCAGGUUAAAGCUUUCAGUCUAACACGUUAAAGUAACGUCCAUUACUUUGAUUAUUAUUAUUUGGAAUCAUUAUUGGAUGUUUCAGGUUCGUUUUAGUUGAUGAUAUUCUUAGUGACGCUGGCAUCUAGGGCAAACCUAAGACCAUGUCUUUUGUUACUAAUUGGUCACUUUCCUCUUUUUCUUUGUUUUUGUAUUUAUCAUGCUGCAUAUGUUCCUAGUGUUUGAUCUUAUUCCUAUCAUGCUGCAUAUGUCAAGGUUUUAUCAUAUACCUCAAUUAUUUUCUUGCGCCUUCUAGCUAGUCAAACGACCAGUCUGCCAUAAUUUUGUUUGUAGGUUCUUCCACUCUGUUUGUUAGCAACGGUGAUGGCGUAUGCAUUGUUAGGGUUGGUGAUGGUGGCGGACUGGCGGGGUAUUAGAGUUCUUGCCAUUAUUGUCAGAAUUUGGUUGGAGUGAACCUUCUCAAUGUCCAAUCAAAAUGGCAGACAUUUGAUAACCACCAUAUGUUUUGGACACUUUUUAAAGCCCAUCGAAAUAAACAAUGUUAUUUAUUUCGCUUAGAGAGAGCUCUGUUA